rnacentral:rRNA from 1 species
ACGCUCGACACCUACGGGAGGCAGCAGUGGGAAUAUUGCACAAUGGGGAAACCCUGAUGCAGCGACGCCGCGUGGAGGAAGAAGGUCUUCGGAUUGUAAACUCCUGUUGUUGGGGAAAAAGAGGAUGGUACCCAACAAGGAAGUGACGGCUAACUACGUGCCAACAGCCGCGGUAAUCUGAGCGGGCUGGCAAGGC